rnacentral:lncRNA from 1 species
CUAGGAAUGAGCCCCUGCGUAAUGCAGCAGCAGCCAUCACCCAACACAGUGGCUUGGGACUGAGCUCUCCGUGCUCGAGGAACUGAGGAGCUGCCUCAUUAACCUUUUUUUCCUCUCUAUCAGGUUAGGUAGCAUGGAACUCUUGAUGAUUUGCUUGGUGCUUUAAGGAUUUUAAAGUGGCAGAGAAAUCAUGAGUCAGAAUAGACCUAAGGAAUGUUUUCCAACCCAAAUAGUUUAUGUAAGUUAAGUACAGUCUGAAGAAUGGGGGCAGGGAGGGAGAUGGGACCGGCUCAGACAUUCUUACCAUUUCAGCUGCAGUUUUUUAGGUCUUGGGGAGGAGUUAUUUUUCUUAACUCUCUCGUUAGUACUUGAGCAUCUGAAUAGCUAAAGGCACAGAAAAUCAAGGCAUAUUUUUCUUACUACAAGAUCUGUAUUUUCACAAACUAAGUGAAGGAGAAUACCAAAUAACUGACAUCACUUCUCUGAAAAGGAACAGAAAAGGCUCCCUCAUGCACACUAGUUUUAAUCUGGAGUAACCAGGAAGUUCAGUGAUUUAUUUAUUUUUUCCAGAGUGCCACCAGUUUGAAUAAUCAAUAUUGUUCAUAUCUUCAGAUAUUCCUUUACAUUUGCUGAUGCCCAUAUUGGUAUUUUGGUUCUGUAACUGACCUCUCCAUUUAUUCCGUCCUGUAAACUCAGCAUAUGAAUCGCAGCAAAUGGGUAAUACCUGAUGUUACAAGAUCCUGCCAGCUACCUAUACGUUUACAGCAGCCUACACACAGAGGUGUAUUGUCACAGCGUUUUGUUCUUUCCCUCCUUUCUGUCUUCUGCCUUCCACCAUUAAAAAGAAACACCCCUAACAGCCUUGUCUGACUUUUGUUUCCACUGUGCUCUGGAGAGUAGCUGCAAAACUAUUUUGUGGUUUGCCUUGAUGCAGUGCAGCUGUUGGGAAGUACAGUAUCUGUCCAACCCUCUGAAAGCUCUGUAUGGCUGCAGCCGUCCCCCCUCCUUCCUCUCACUAAAGCUGCUUGCAGCUCCUUAGUUUCAGUAUCCAGGCAGAACAAAUCCAUCCUGAGCAUGCUGCUUAUUCUGGAGUGCAGUCAGAGGGCAGGGAGGUGGAAGCCACUGUGAAACUCUGGCUGUUACAGAAACGUGAGGGGCAAUUGCUAACUGCAAAGGAUUAUAUUUCAGCCACUCUUUUGUGCAUCCCUUCAGAAGAGAAGAGUCAUUAGUCUCAGAUGGAAGCCUGAGCAGAAGUGGUCAGCUGUGUGCUUUAGUUCACCUGAAGAGUACAGUGGUCUGAAUAAUACAGGGCUGAGUUAACUGCUUUGUUUGAAACACCUUUGGAUACCAAAACCUUCCUGUUUUCCUGCUUCUCCAUUUCUCACCAGGGCUGUGCAGCAUUUCUCAGGCAGCUAGCUUGUGGCAUAUAAGAAAGGACCCCAAAAUUGAAAGCCCAGAGAAGGGCACACCCUUUGGUCAGCAUAAUGACCACUUACCUUUCGGUGAAAUCCACACAGCUCAGGGCUUUUUUAACCAGACACAUUAAAGAACUAAGUAUAUCUACUAUGCUAAGAUACAUAUGAAAGGCAGCUGGGAAGAAAUGCUUGAACUGUAGUUUUAAUCUGUCUGUGGCUUCUAGCAACCUUCCUCUUAUUUAAACACAAUCCAGUGAAACUCUCAUUUUAGACUCCAGUGGCAGUUCAGCCAUCUUAGUUGCAUCAUGCGCACUGCACUUCUUGGGCAGUAUCAUCUCUUCUCUCAGCUAAGUGAAACUUCCUAUUGACAGGCAAAUAUAUAGCUAUUACUCUACACGUGUUCCAGAGCUCCACAACAGAUAACAUUUUCUGUCCCAAGUUGUUUUUUAUUAUUUUAGAAUAUAUUUUAAAGUCACUCCACAGGUUCUUGUAAUGAAAGAUUACAAGUGAUCCUUGGCUCAGUGUCUUCUAUCCCCUCCUCUGGUCAUGAGACCGAUUUAAAAAUCAUGAUGUGAAAUGUGAGGUACACACUUGGCCUCCUCUUUGUUCAUUCCCUGUUUUUGGAACAUACGUGUUACAGCUGAGCUUCAUUUUGUUCAAAUGUAAAUCUUACAUUUGUAUGUAGUCACCUGACUCCAGGUCCUGCAGCUAAAGGAAAAUACAAAAUAUCUUUAGAACUGGGAUUAAAUAGUGAAACAGUGAAGUGCCUCUGCACAUGUGGAAUAAGAACAAUCAUUCUGACUGAGAUUCAGUGGCAGUUCAGAUUACUUCUGUUCCUAUAGCUUGGGGUAGGGUCACUCCUAGAGGGAUUGUGUUUCAGGACUUUAACCCUUUUAACCUCCCUUCCUUGCUGCUCCCAGAAAGACCUCUGUGCCCCAGCUGGGCAUAGCCCAAGUGACCUCAGCUGGCUACACACAUUUCUUAAAAAAGAUCCAAUUUUUGACGACUCCAACCCUCUUGUGAAUGUGAAAACAAAGCAUGUAUUUUAU